rnacentral:rRNA from 1 species
UAAAAAGCUCGUAGUUGAAAUUUGGAACUUUAUUGUAUUGGUUUGUCUUUUGAUGAACUGUAUGAUGGGUUUUCUUCCUACUAGAGUUCGAUUCUGUUCUUAAUUGAAUGGAGUAGCUAUUUUUUGGGGUGGUCAAUUGGUUGUUAUAUCUCCACUAAUAAGCAGAGAGGGGUUAAACCUUUGAAGUAAGUUAUGUGGGUCAAGGUAUGGUGAUUAAUUGGAGUUCUAGUUCAUUUACUUUGAGAAAAUUAGAGUGUUUAAAGCAGCCUCUUGGGGCACUGAAUACAUUAGCAUGGGAUAAUAAAAUAGGAUCUUCACAAUAUAUUUUAUUGGUUUAAAUUGGAUAUGAAGAUAAUGAUUAAUAGGGACAGUUGGGGUAUUCAUAUUGGGUGGUUAGCGGUGAAAUGCUCGGAUCCAUUCAAGAUGAACUAAAGCGAAAGCAUUUACCAAGGAUGUUUUCAUUAAUCAAGAACAAAAAGUUAAGGGAUCGAAGACGAUUAGAUACCGUCGUAGUCUUAACUAUAAACUAUGCCGA